rnacentral:lncRNA from 1 species
UAAUAGAACCUGCCUUUAUAGCAGGGGUUCUUAAUCUUUUUUGUUCCACGAACCCCUUUGCCAGUCAGGUAAAAUGAAUUCUACGGUAAUUUAUUUAUUGCAUACAUUCAUAAGUGAAGGAAAUGCUAGAGUGCAGUUAGAGGUAAGACAAUAUAAUGAUAAUAAGUUGAUUUUUUUUCAGCUCAAACUCACGGACCCCCUGAAAUCUUUAGGGGUCCAUGGACCCCUGCUUAAGAAUCCAAGCUUUACAGGUGAAAACUUUGGAAAAUCACUCUGGAAAAUCUCACGGGACUUUGUUUACCAUGCUUACAGUCUUCUGCCCACUCCAGUUCAUGUUGUAGUGACAUACUCACUUCAAGUUAGGCCCAUACACCUUCCACAUUUCUAUUUAGUCUUAAUGGUGUUGAUUUUUUUUGGCCUUAAAAAUAUUUAAUAUUUUUGAAUAGGUACUAUAUGAACAUAAUGAAAAUUCAAACAUUAAGAAAGUGUAUCUGUGGACUAAAGUAGACUUAUUAUUCUAGCAAUGGAAGAACUUUUAUUAAUAUCAUUGAUGUAAAGGCAGUGGCCAUCAGAGGUUCUGAAGGAUGGGAGAGGGAAGAAUAGGUAUAAUAUGGGGCAUUUUGGGGACGUUGGAAUUAUCCUGCAUGGCAUUGCAAUGACAGAUAUAGGCCAAUUUUAUGGGUUUGUCAUAACCCAUAAAAUUGUGCAGGACAAAGUGUAAACUCUAAUGUAAACUACAGUCCGCAGUUAGCAGCAAUGGCUUUAAUAUGCGUUCAUCAAAUGUAACAAAUGAACCACACUAAUGAAGGAUGUUGUUAACGUGGGAAAGUGUGGGAGGCGGAGGAAGUGGGGCAUGAGUCUCCAUCUCUACUCUCAGUUCUGCGUCCCUUUUCCCAGAAGCAACCCCUCAUGAGUUUUUUGUAUGCCCCUCAUAGAUAAUCUAUACAUGUCUAUCUAUGUGGAUAAAUAUAUGUCCCCCAUUUUUCCAUACCUGGGUACCUCAUACCACACACACCACUCUGCACCCAAAUCUACUCAGUUAAUAUAUCUUGGAUGAGAAACGGAUGUGGCUCAACCAAUUGGGCUCCUGUCUACCAUAUAGGAGGUCCAGGGUUUGAUGCCCAGGGCCUCCUGUGAGGGCAAGCUGGCCCAUGAGGUGAGCUGGCUGAUGUGGAGUGCCAGCCCAUGUGGCAAUGUGGCCCUGCACAGGAGAGCCACCCCGUGUGGGAACGCUGCCUUAUGUGGAAAAAACCACCCUGUGCAGGAGUGCCAGCUAAUGUGGAGAGCUGGCAAAGCAAGGUGAUGCAACAAGAGACACAGAGGAGAGAAAAUAAGAAGACAUAGCAGAACUGGAGAGCUGAGGUGGCACAAGAGAGUAAUUGUCUCCCACUCUGGAAGUUCCCAGGAUUGGUCCCAGGAUCAGUUCCCAGAGCCGCCUAAUGAGAAUACAGCAGACACAGAAGAACACACAGCGAAUGGCAAAUGGAAACAGAGAGCAGACAAUGAGGGGAAUGGGGGUGGGAGGAGAAAUAAAAAAUAAAUCUUAAAUAUAUAUAUAUAUAUAUAUAUCUUGG